GCUGCGGAGGUCAUUACAGAGUUGAGAAGGCCGACAGGCAUCACGAAGCUUACCCGGGACGGUGCCUCGGUGGUGGCGGUCAGGAAGGGGGGUCUCACCCCCGGGGAACCUAGGGCCUCCCGCCCCCUGGAGGCUACCCCCCGGGGGGGUUAAAACCCUGCUUGUAAUUUUAUGUUUUUAAUGCAUAGCUUAGAAUGCCACUCUUUGGGCACUUCUCCAUGUUGCUUCCCUGGUGGGAUCCUCCAAGGGGAGGGUCACGAGGCAAACCUCUUGGCCGAACCAACCCGAGGCCCCUGUGAAUGUUGGAAAGCAAACCACCAUCGAAUCAACUAACGCACCCAGGACUGUUUGGUAUUCAGAAGGGGACUCUCUUGGUACCGUCAUGACUGAAUCACGACCUUCAAGGGUUCCUGAAAUGUAAAGUGCGGAACUCUGGAAACCCUUUUUUUUUUUAAUACACAUCGCGCCCGCCUGGCCUCCGUGGGGUAGUGGGAUCCGCGCCGCUUUAUCCAGGAUGCAUUACGAUAGCGAACCCAUACGCGUGGCGCUUUAGUUUCUCGGGACUCCGACCUGGAUGGAAUCAUAGAAUAGAGGGGUAACUUGUGGUACAGCGCGAGACGACGCAUUGGCUGAGACUACGCGCUGAACUCCCGGAUAUCGAUGACCGUCUGAAGGCUGGGAAUAGCAAGACAUUGGGACUGCGUGAAUCAGGUAGGGAUCCACGCUGAACUGAAGCAUAUCAAUAAGCGG
rnacentral:sRNA from 1 species